UUGUAUUAUUUUAGGUGUUUGUAUUAUUCUAGUUGUGGUGGUUGUAUUAUUCUAGUUGUGGUGGUUGUAUUAUUCUAGGUGGUUGUAUUAUUCUAGUUGUGGUGGUUGUAUUAUUCUAGUUGUGGUGGUUGUAUUAUUCUAGUUGUGGUGGUUGUAUUAUUCUAGUUGUGGUGGUUGUAUUAUUCUAGUUGUGGUGGUUGUAUUAUUCUAGUUGUGGUGGUUGUAUUAUUCUAGUUGUGGUGGUUGUAUUAUUCUAGUUGUGGUGGUUGUAUUAUUCUAGUUGUGGUGGUUGUAUUAUUCUAGUUGUGGUGGUUGUAUUAUUCUAGUUGUGGU
rnacentral:lncRNA from 13 species